rnacentral:rRNA from 1 species
AGAGUUUGAUCCUGGCUCAGAGCGAACGCUGGCGGCAUGCUUAACACAUGCAAGUCGCACGGGCGGUGGCAACACUGUCAGUGGCGGACGGGUGAGUAAUGCGUAGGUAUCUAUCGUUGGGUGGGGGACAACCGCGGGAAACUGCGGCUAAUACCGCAUGAUGACUAUGGUCCAAAGGCCUUCGGGUCGCCUGACGAGGA